GUUCAUGUGAUGAAUUUUGCUGUUCAACUGCUGAGUGACUCAGAAAUGAACUAAAUUUUCAAUUCUGACUAGA
ensembl:snoRNA